rnacentral:rRNA from 1 species
CGACGUGAGGAACCUGCCUUCCAGAGGGGGACAACAGUUGGAAACGACUGCUAAUACCGCAUGAUGCAUUUGAAUCGCAUGGUUUGAAUGUCAAAGAUUUAUCGCUGGAAGAUGGCCUCGCGUCUGAUUAGCUAGUUGGUGAGGUAACGGCCCACCAAGGCGACGAUCAGUAGCCGGACUGAGAGGUUGGCCGGCCACAUUGGGACUGAGAUACGGCCCAGACUCCUACGGGAGGCAGCAG